rnacentral:lncRNA from 1 species
GAGGGGAGAGAUUGAUUGUGUUUACGACUAAUUAUGUGGAGAAACUUGAUCCUGCGCUCAUUAGAAGAGGAAGGAUGGACAAACACAUAGAAUUGUCCUACUGCUGCUUCGAAGCAUUCAAAGUGCUUGCUAGGAAUUAUUUGGAUUUGGAUUCACACGAGUUGUUUGAAACGAUUGCUCGUUUGUUGGGUGAAACCAAUAUGACUCCUGCUGAUGUCGCUGAGAACUUGAUGCCUAAGUCUGUUAGGCAGGAUGCUAAAUCUUGUUUGAAGAACUUGAUCGAAGCUCUUGAGGCUGCGAAGGAGGAGGCAAGAGUGAAGGCCGAGGAAGAAGCAAAGUCAAAGGCAGAGGAAGAGGCAAAACUGAAGAUAGAGAAAGAAGAAAAAGAGAAAGACCUGCCAAAAGUUGAAGAGAAAUGCAAUGGAAAACAAGUUGAAACGGGCGAAGAAAACAGAGUUAGCGCUUGAAGAUGAACGAAAGAGAGUGAAAUCAUAUGUAUGAAUUUCAACCUUGCUUAAAUUGUAUUUUGUAGAGUCUCAUCAGUGUGUGUUUUUCCUUAAUGUGUACUAAGAAUAAUUUCAUGGGGCUGUACUAAUUAAGCGUUUCGAUCAUCAAGGGCAUAAGUAACCUGUACCGCAAGGAAAAAAUGUCUAUUUCUUUGAAUAAGUUUAACUAAGUAACUCUAAUCUGUGUUUUAUCAAAAUAUCCUUAGUUAAUUAAGUUCUUUCGUAUCUUAUUUUGUUUCUUAAAGUGAAAUUUUCUCACUUAACAACUAAUUGUAUGUUGCAAGAAACUAAGACUGAUUGAUCCACAGUAGACAGACAUGAUGAUGAUGAUGGGAGAAAUGUGGGUUCAACCGGACGCGGAGAUUUGCUAGUGUGAUGCUUCAUGCUUGUUUAUGCCAAAUUUCUGCAUUUUUUCCCAUCGCUUUCGAGGCAUAGAGACUGAAUCCGCCCGCCAUUGUAGAUGAUCAGAAUGCUUAGUAUAUUCAUACAAAGUAAUCACUGUGGUGCUUCAUGCUUGUUUACGCUAAAUUUUAAGUAUUUUCCCUUCUCUAAGAAAAAAUUAUUUAUGUAAAGCUAUGAAGUAUACAUCAUUUCUCAACAAAAUACAGAGGCCAAACAAGAAAGCAAAGUUUAAACAUGACUCCAGCAGACAUGUUUGCUCAUCUGGGAUCCGCAGUUGGCAGUUUGAUGUUUGCGUGGUCUAUCAUCCCACAAUACCUUCCUUACAGCCUUCGAAGCCAGACUAAGAAAUACUCUCAAAGAUUGGAGGGUUUCGUCUACCCUUACAUCCAAAUCACAUUCGAUGAAUUCAUUGGAGAGCGUCUCAAGCGCAAUGAACCUUAUUCCUCCAUUGAGAAAUAUCUAAGCUCCAAAUCUUUACGCAAGCAAAGCGCCUAAAGGCCGACAUAAAAAACUAACAGUCCCUUGCUUUUAGCCUGGAUGACUAUCAAGAGGUCACCGACAAGUUCCAAGUGUCACGGGAUGACUCUUUAAGCCUUCCGCCCAUGCGGCACUUAGACUUGAAUACCUCGAUGAACAAGCUAAGUAAGUCUUCGAAGCCUCGCUUCCCCGGAUCGAAUCACAAAGAAAGCUAAGAUAGCUUGGAGAAUGCUAAAAUCACUUAGAACAUGGGAGAAAGGAAGCUUUGUAUUGAAACUUAAGAGAACUUUACAAUUGCUUACAAUUCUUGGAUGCCUUGGCCAAAUGGCCUUGCCUCCUAUUUAUAGGCCUAAGUUACCUCCUCAAUGGAGGGUUCUAGAAUUCCCUACUUACAUCCAAAAAUAUCUAGCAUAGUUCUAGAUACAACUUGCCUAAUCUAGAUUGUUCUAGGUGAGGCUUAAAUUUGUACACUUGUGUGGAAUGUUCUGGAAUGCCCUAGAUUAUCUUGAACGCUCCGCCAUGUUCUUGAUUUUUCCGGGAUGUUCCAGAAGCUUCCAUGAAGACAAGGCUUUAUGGGCUUAGAUAUAUGAUGUCUUGGGCGAUUUCUUUGUUUUUAACAUAUGGCCCGUGACAUCCUCCCCCACUUAAGCCGUCGACGUCCUCGUCAACUCUUGCCUCUCGAAUGUCUGAAUCAAGUCCUUAUAUUGCCAUAAGGACGUCUCUUUCUCCCAUGUUGCUUCGGAGUAUGGUAGCCCCUUCCAUUUGACAAAGUACUCCAUAUGCUUUGGUUGUCUUGGUCGCACCACGACACGCUUGGCUUCAAUGCUCUCCGCUUCUUUGUCAAAUGCCUCCGUCAUUAAAGGGGGUGCUCGAUGAGACUCACCUCGGCUUGGUUCCUCAUCGUCUGCAUGAUAAGGCUUCAAGUUGCUCACAUGGAACACCGGGUGAAACUUGAGGCGGGGUGGGAGUUCCACACCAUACGCGGCUUUGCCAACCUUCUUGAUGAUAGGGAAUGGUCCCUCAUAUUUCCGCAACAAGCUCUUGUGCAAGCCACGAGUACUCUUGUGCUGAGACGCAUUGAGCUUCACAAAGACUUGGUUGCCAGUUUGGAACUCCACAUUCAUUCGCUUGCGAUCCGCCCAUUUCUUCAUCUUCUUUGAAGCCUUCUCCAAAUGAGCUCGAGCAAGUUCGUGGGCUAAUUGCCACUCCUUAGCGGUUUUGAAAGCGGCUGGACUAUUCCCCGUGUAGCCAGUCACGACCGUGUUCGGGGUCAAGGGUUGUUGCCCUAUAGCCAACUUGAACGGACUUUUCCCCGUCGACUCCGAACGUUGCAAGUUAUAAGAGAAUUGGGCAACAUCAAGUAACUUAGCCCAAUCUCGUUGAUUGGCACUAACAUAGUGCCGCAAAUAAGUCUCCAACAAUCCAUUAACCCGCUCCGUUUGUCCAUCAGUUUGUGGAUGAAAAGCUGUGGAGAAGUCUAACUUUGAGCCAAGUAGCUUGAAGAGCUCCUUCCAAAAUCUACCCGUGAAACGAGCAUCUCGAUCACUGACUAUGCUCCUCGGAACACCCCAAUACUUCACCACAUGCUUUAGAAACAAGCGUGCAGCUACUUCGGCUGUGCACUCCAUAGGUGCGGGUAUGAAAGUGGCAUACUUGGUGAAUCUAUCGACCACGACGAAGAUAGAUCCACAUCCAUCAGACUUAGGCAAAUGUGUGAUGAAAUCCAUGGUUAAACACUCCCAUGGUCUUGAUGGGGUGGGAAAUGGUUCCAACAGUCAUCCCGGUUGCUUUUGUUCCACUUUGUCUUGUUGGCACACAAGACAAGUCUUCACGUAUGAAUCUACAUCAUCCCGCAUUUGUGGCCAAUAAUAAGCAUCGCUCACCAAAGCCAACGUGCGGUGAGUGCCAGGAUGUCCUGCCCACAUUGAGUCAUGGCACUCCUUAAGGAUUUCUUUCCUUAAGCUUCCUCACUUUGGGACAUAGAUCCGUUUGCCCUUGGUGUAUAGCAAGCCGUCCUCAAGCCAAAACCUUCUUGUCUUCCCAUCCUUGACAAACUCCACAAUGUUCUUGGCUUGGACGUCAUGUGAUAAACCUUCUCGGACACGGCCCAAGAGAUGGCUUUGCGGCUUGAGUACCGUAGCCAUUAACUUUACUCGUCUACUUAGAGCAUCGGCCACCACGUUCUCCUUUCCUUGCUUGUACUCUAGCUUGUAAUCAAACUCCGCUAAGAACUCUUGCCACCUUGCUUGCUUAGGUGUAAGCUUUUGUUGGGUUUGAAAGUAGCUAGCGGCAACGUUGUCCGUCUUGAUGAUGAAUGGGGUACCAAGCAAGUAAUGCCUCCAAACUCUAAGGCAAUGGACGAUGGCGGUCAUCUCCUUUUCAUGGGUCGUGUACCUCUUCUCGGCAUUGUUUAGCUUGCGACUUUCAUAGGCUAUCGGAUGUCCCUCUUGCAUCAACACUCCUCCUAUGGCAAAGUCGGAAGCAUCAGCGUGCAACUCGAAUGGCUUGCUAAGGUCGGGCAACCUUAGUACAGGCUCCUCCAUUAGGGCCUUCUUCAACCUCUCAAAGGCCUCUUGACACCGGUCCGUCCAUUCCCAUGCCUUGUUCUUCUUAAGAAGGUCUGUUAAGGGUGCUGCUAUGGCUGAAUACCCUUUUAUGAAUCUCCGAUAGUAGUUGGCUAACCCCAGAAAGGAUCGUAGUGUUGGUACCUUGGUCGGUGGUUCCCACUCUUGAAUGGCCUUGAUCUUGCCCUUUUCCAUCAUAAGUUUCCCCUCCUUUAUCUUGUGGCCAAGAAAUUCUACUUCUUUUGUGGCAAAUGAGCAUUUCUCCUUCUUGACAUAGAGUUCAUGCUCCCGAAGGGUCUUGAACACUAUGCGCAAGUGCUUGACGUGCUCAUCCAAUGUCUUGCUAUAGACAACGAUAUCAUCAAUGUAAACCACAACAAACUUGUCAAGAUAAGGAUGGAAUACCUUGUUCAUCAAUGUGCAGAAUGUUGCGGGGGCAUUGGUCAGACCAAAUGGCAUGACUUUAUACUCGAACGAUCUAUAUCUGGUCACCAUCGCCGUCUUUGAUUCGUCUCCAGGGGCUAUCCUCACUUGGUAGUAUCCCGAUCGAAGAUCUAACUUUGUGAAGUACCUUGCUUCACCAAGUUGAUCGAAUAAGUCGGCGAUCAACGGAAGUGGGUACUUGUUCUUGAUGGUAAUCUUGUUCAAUGCUCUAUAGUCGAUGCACAACCUUAGGCUACCUUCUUUCUUGCGUUGGAACAAGACGGGUGCACCAUAUGGGGACUUGGAGGGUUGGAUGUAGCCAGCAUCAAGUAGUUCGUUGAGUUGCUUCCUCAAUUCCUCCAACUCGGGUGGCGACAUCCUAUAAGGUGAUUUGGAGGGAGGCUUAGCACCAGGCUCCAACUCAAUCGCAUGGUCGACCUCUUUCCUUGGUGGCAACUUCUUUGGCAGUUCCUUAGGUAUCACGUCCGUAAACUCCACAAGAACGUCUUCCACUUGUUUCGGCAAAGGCCCGUGCUUCUCCUCCCCUUCAUUCAACAUUAGGGUUGCAAGAAAUGUGGCCUCGCCUUUCUUCCAAGACUUGGCAAAUUGAAUUGCCGACAAGUGCUGGGUACACUUCUUGGCUUGCCUUUCCAAUGGCACCAGGCAAGGUUGUCUUCCGUCGGCCAGGAUACAGAAAAUAUUGUAGAAGGGAAUGGGAAAGGCUCGUACCUUGUCCAUGAACUCUAACCCAAUGACUACUCCAUAGUCGUCCAUCUUGACUACAGUGAAGUCGAUCUUUCCCUUCCAUGUGCCAAUGUCUACUUGUACAUUGCGCACAACUCCAACAAUGGGGGUGGCAGCGGAAUUUACCGUCUUCACGCUACCAGGCUCCUUUGUGACUCAGAGACCAAGCCUUGUGGCUUUCUCCGACGUCAUGAAGUUGUGUGUUGCUUCUAUGUCCACCAACACACGCGUCGUCUUGUCACCAGUCUUGACGUCGACGAACAAUGAUCCUCCCCCAAUUUGAGCCUUAGGUUGUGGAAGGGUUGUCUGGAUGGCAUUCAGUAGACGGAUGCAUCCCAUCGUUGCAUCGUUACUCUCUUCGGCCUUGUCCUCCUUGAAAGCCAUGGCCUUAAGGGCAUUCUUUUGUGGGCAAUCUCGCAUCAUGUGAGGGCCGUCGCAUAGGUAACAAGUGGGUUGCCAAGACUUACCUUUGCUUUUGUCAUGCUUAUCGGCUUUCUUCUCCUUCGGUUUGCUUGUCUCGGCCUUGUCCUUCGGCUUAUGUUCUCCCCCACUUCUCUCAUGAUUACCCCUCUUCCCCGUGGACUUGAAAUCACCUUGGUGGCUUGAUUUAAACUCAAUCAAGGAUUCGGCGGCGGCAAUGGCAUCAGACAAUGUUUGCACGUGUCUCCUUUGUAGUUCGAGUUUUGCCCAAUUUUGCAGUCCACUCAUGAAGUACAUGAGCUUGUCUUCCUCUAACAUGUUGGGCACCUCGAAUAACAAGCUCACGAAGGUGUUGACAUAGUCUUUGACGCUCCCCGUUUGCUUGAGCCACCUUAGUUUCUCCUUGGCUUCGUACUUGGCAUUUUGGGGAUAGAAGUGCAACAUAAGAUCUUUCUUAAAUUCAUCCCAAGUGGUGAGGGAGAACGUACCUUGGUCAAUCUCCAUGCUCCGGCGACGCCACCACAUAAGGGCAUUGUCAGCUAAGAACAUGGUUGCCGUUGAGAUUUUGGACUCGUCAUCUUCAAGCUUCAGGUACUUGAAGUAUCGCUCCACGUUCCACACGAAUGUGUCGAGCUCCUUUGCUUCCCUUUUCCCAUUAUAGGAUUUGGGUUUAAAGGAGUCGAUUACCUUGGAGUCCAACGCCUUGAUUUCCCUCGGCCCUUGCACGAAUUGCUUCACGACUGCUUCUUUACAAAACGCCACAUCUCCCUUAAGUUCCCUUGUGUCCUUUAUCUCUUUUUGAAGUGCCACAAACCUUGCCUCUAUGUUGUCAAGGUGAACCUGGACUUCCCUCCGCAUCUUGUCUGCCAUGGUGUUGAGAGCGCCAAAGAGCUCAUCUCGUAGCCCUUCCACCAAGCCACGCAGUUCAUCCUUACCAUUGUCCACCAUGGUUUGGAUUUCCUCCUUGUCGACAACGUCCUCAUCAAGUCGAGUAUCGAACUCGAGUAUGGUUCGUUCCACCUUCUCGAGUCGCUCUUCCAUGGUCUCCAUCGAUGCUUGCAAGUCCUUUAACUUUGGCUUGCUCUUGGCAACAUCUUGGACCUCGGCAGUACGCUCCCUUAGGUCGGAGACUCCGGACACCAUCUCUCCACUUGCCAUAUCCUACUUUCCUUCAAGUGAUUCACGAGCUAGGCUCUGAUACUAGCUGUCACGGGAUGACUCUUUAAGCCUUCCGCCCGUGCGGCACUUAGACUUGAAUACCUCGAUGAACAAGUUAAGUAAGCCUUCGAAGCCUCGCUUCCCCGGAUCAAACCAUAAAGAAAGCUAAGAUAGCUUGGAGAAUGCUAAAUCCACUUAGAAGAUGGGAGAAAGGAAGCUUUGUAUUGAAACUUAAGAGAACUUUACAAUUGCUUACAAUUCUUGGAUGCCUUGGCCAAAUGGCCUUGCCUCCUAUUUAUAGGCCUAAGUUACCUCCUCAAUGGAGGGUUCUAGAAUUCCCUACUUACAUCCAAAAAUAUCUAGCAUAGUUCUAGAUACAACUUGCCUAAUCUAGAUUGUUCUAGGUGAGGCUUAAAUUUGUACACUUGUGUGGAAUGUUCCGGAAUGCCCUAAAUUAUCUUGAACGCUCCGCCAUGUUCUUGAUUUUUCCGGGAUGUUCCAGAAGCUUCCAUGAAGACAAGGCUUUAUGGGCUUAGAUAUAUGAUGUCUUGGGCGAUUUCUUUGUUUUUAACAUAUGGCCCGUGACACAAGGACUCAGUUUCUUGUGGGUUUCUGGGACAAACGUGUUGAAAAGAUAGACGUAUUCUUUCUACCCUGUUGGUGAGAAAGGUACUACAAGCUCAUUUCCAUAAACGGCACGGGGAUCUCGUAAUAUGUCCAUACUUUACUCAAAUCUUGAAAGAAAGCAAGGCUAUGAAGGUGGUAAACCGGCAAAGAAAGAUUUAUUCGAACAAUGGUUCACAUUGGAGCCAUGUCGUGUUUGAGCACCCCGCUACAUUUCAGACACUUGCCAUGGAGCUGGAGAAGAAGAAGGACAUUAUUGACGACCUAAUGGCAUUCACCAUAGCAGAAAACUAGUAUGCAAGGAUUGGAAGGGCAUGGCAGCGGGGAUAUCUCCUUUACGGCCCUCCAGGUACUGGAAAGUCCACCACGAUUUCUGCCAUGACUGAUCUUUUGGGCUAUCAUAUUUAUGAUCUUGAACUCACUGCAGUUAAAGACAACACUGAGCUGAGGGGGCUUCUGAUUGAAACAACGAGCAAGUCUAUUACUGUAAUUGAAGACAUCGAUUGUUCACUUGAUAUUGCGGGACCGAGGAGGAAGAGAAAAGAUAAAGGGGAAGAGGAGGAAGAGAAAGAUCCAAUGGACAAGCUUGCAGAACAAGAAAGAUAAACCAAAACCAGCCGGGUUAAUAUUUCCAGGCUUCUGAUUUUUAUUGAUGGGCUAUGGUCAGCUUGCAGCGGAUGGGGGAUCAUUGUCAUCACAACUAAUCAUGUGGAGCAACUCGAUCCAGCACUUGUCCGGAAAGGAAGGAUGUACAAGCACAUAGAAUUGUUGUACUGCAAGUUCGAAGCAUUCAAGGUGCUGGUGGGGAACUACCUUAGACUUCAAUCACACGAUUUGUUUUCCACAAUUGUACGCUGCCGGAGGAAAACUGAUAGGACUCCAGCUGAUGUUGCAGAACCUUUGAUGCCUAAGACAAAUCCUUAGGAUGCUUAAAUCUGCCUACAUAAUCUGAUCGAAGCACUCGAAAAAGAAAAAGAGAAUGGAAGGUUGAAAGCCAAGGAAGAAGGGAAAAGGAGAAAUCAUCACCUAAAGAGGAAGAAAAUGAUUGUGAUACAGGAUCAUCUGAUGAGCAAUAAAAAGAGAGCAAGAAAAUAGGUUUAGAAUUGGUUAAAAAGCUUGUUUCCUAAAAGUUGUAUGUAUUAUUCUAAAACCAAAUUCCUCUCCUUUCCGAGGUAUUUACUCAUUCGAGUUUGAAGAAAAUGGUGCCGAAAUCUGAUGUAGAGGAUGUUGAGUCUUGUUUGAAGAACUCGAUCGAAGCUCUUGAGGCUGCGUAGGUGGAGGCGAGAAUCAAGGCUUAGGUAAAAACAAGCAAAAAGGCAGAGGAAGAAGAAAAAUUGAAAACAGAGAAAGAAGUGAAGUCGAAGGCAGUGGAAGAAGCAGAUUCGAAGGCAGAUAGUGAAAUGUAACGGGACAUCAGCUUAGCUUCAUAUGACCAAGUAAACCCUCAUUUGUGCAACUUUUAUCCGUGUUUUUUUAGGAAAAUAAGCUUAUAAUUUUCUCAAUUAACAAUUUAAAAAGGUCCAUUGUCCCACCUAGUUCGUUGGUUUAACCAACGAUCUGGAUGUGAUCUAUCUGUUAGGAAUAUAAUAGAACCUAUAUGUAAUUAAAGGUUUUACUUUACUUAGCUGUUAAGCUAAUUGUACCUAUUUAUAUGAUAUUGUAUUCUUUCGGACUGUAAGAUGAAUUCAUUCAAUCAAUACACUUCUCUUUCUAGAAUCCUCUCUCUCUCUCUCUCUACCUUUACCUUUUCUCUCACAGAAUCAUAAGUUUCUACAUGGUAUCUUCGCCGAUGUCUAACGACCUCGAUCCACCGCUUCCGUCUUCUUGAAUUUUCUCACCCUUUCUCUUCUCCCAAACAGAUCUUAUCUGCCUGACCUUCUUCAAUUUCUUAAAAUUUCUUCUCCACUCUUGCUUCUCUGAUGGCGACUGGUGUGAAUUCUGCGGAUCUUUCUUCUCCGGCUGGUUCUUCUGGUUCUAAUGUCGCGCCCAAUGCGUUCAAUCCGUCUCUUUCUUCGAUCACUGUUCAGAAUAUCACUGGCAUGAUUGCAACGAAGCUUACUCGCCACAACUACAUCACUUGGCGUAGUCUCUUUCUUCCUGUUCUGAAACGAUUCAAGCUUUUAGGGCUUGUCAAUGGAACUGAUGUGUGUCCUCCUCCAUUUGUGACUGAUUCGUCCGGAUCUCAAGUUUCUAAUCCUGCAUUUGAGACUUGGUGAUCGUGAUCAAAUCUUGAUGAUUUGGAUUAAUUCAACAUUAUCUGAAGAUCUCCUUCCAUUGAUGGUUGGCAUGGACGAUUCCAGAUCUCUCUGGCAAUCUCUCGAACGUUGGUUUUCUGGUGCAUCUCGUACUCACAUUCACAGCCUUCGUUCGAAGAUUCAGACUAUCCAAAAAGGAGACUCUUCAAUGACUGAUUACCUCAACUCUCUUAAGGAAAUCUCUGAUAAACUUGCCGCGGCUGGCGAACCAAUUUCUGACUCAGAUCUUGUGGCCUACAUUCUUUCUGGUCUCUCUACUGAGUAUGAAUCAUUUAUUGAUUCUAUUGAAACACGAUCUGACUUUGUCAAUCCUGAUGAGCUGCAUGGAUUACUCCUGAGUAAAGAGAUUUCUCUUCUGAAACGCAAAUCCAGAAAACCGUCUUCUUCUUCAGCAUCUUUUCAUGCUUAUACGGCUCAACCUGGUUCCAACAAUUUCAGAGGCCGUGGUCGAUUUCAGAACAAAAAUCGCUACAAUUCGAAUCGCAAUUUUGGAGGAAAUCGUCAUUACAACAACACUUCUGGAAGUCUUCUUGGUCCUGGUCCUAAUUCCAGAUCCACAUUCUCUGGUCAGAAUUUCACCAAUUCCUUUUCUGGCCGCUCUCUUCAGUGCCAAUUAUGUCUCAAAUUUGGUCAUGAAGCUCUCAACUGUGAGAAGCUCCUUCAGUUUGCAUCUCAAAGAUCACCUCAUGGACCUCAUGUUGGCAUGACGGCUGCGACUUCUCCUCCACCGAGCUAUUGGUUAACUGAUAGUGGAGCCUCUCAUCAUGUGACACCUGAUCCAUCAUCUCUUAAUUCUGCAAUUCCCUACAAUGGCAGUGAUCAGUUGUUUGUUGGUAAUGGUAAAGGUCUGUGCAUUUCUCAUACUGGUUCUGCCUUAAUUCGUACUUUCAAUGCUACAUUUAAGCUCAAUGAUGUGUUGUUGGUUCCCAAAGCAUCCCAUAAUCUGUUAUCCGUUUACAAAUUUGUCUAUGACAAUUGGGCUUCUCUGACUUUUGAUCCUUUUGGGUUCUAUAUCAAGGACCUAAGAACUGGAAAGAUGCUUUUCCAGGGCCUCUGUGAAGAUGGCUUAUAUCCUUUCUACUGGACUGCAUCCAAUAAAUCCUCAGGCAUUGCUCUCUCGCCUACGGCAUUGAUGAUAGCUAAGGCAGAUGUUCAUCUCUGGCAUAAAAGACUCGGCCACCCAUCGAGCUUAGUUUUACAUAAUGUUGUCCAUAAACAUCAGCUACCUGUUAUUGGUUCUGUCAAUUCAGGGUCCAUUUGUACUGAUUGUAAGAUGGGGAAGGCAUCUAGAUUACCAUUUUCUACUUUGCCUUGUACUUCCACUAGGCCUUUUCACUUACUGCAUACAGAUGUUUGGGGUCCUUCUCCCACUUUUUCAUGUACUGGUUUCAAGUAUUACCUCAUUUUGGUCGAUGACUACACUAAAUACAGCUGGCUUUAUCCUAUGGUUUAUAAGUCUGAUGUUUACUCCACUUUCAAGACUUUUGUUCUCAAAGUUACAAAUUUCUUUUCUUGCAAGAUUCAAUGUCUCAGGUCAGAUUCAGGGGGUGAGUUCUUAAGCAAGAAUUUUCAGACUUUUCUCAAUAAACAUGGUAUUACACAUCAGUUAAGUUGUCCGCAUACACCUGAACAAAACGGCUGCGCAGAGAGGAAGCACAGGCAUGUUGUUGAAAUGGGUCGGACUCUUCUCUUUCAGAGUGGAAUGGCACCAAAAUUCUGGGUUGAGGCUUUUCAGACUGCUGUCUACAUUAUAAAUAGACUGCCUCCUCAAGCAUCUCCUACUAGCCCUUGGGAAAAAUUUUCAAUGCUGUACCUCAGUAUCACACUCUCAAAGCCUUUGGCUGUGCAUGCUACCCAUGGCUGCAGCCCUAUUCGUCAACUAAACUUGAUCCGAAUAGCAAGUUGUGUGUUUUCCUCGGCUAUAGUCUCAAUCAUUGUGGCUAUCGGUGUUUUGAUCCUGUGGCUAACAAAGUGUAUAUCUCACGGCAUGUUACUUUUGAUGAACACCUGUUCCCGUUUAAGCAAGGCUUGUUCUCUGCCUCUCCUUUACCCCAGCGUCCUUCACCUCUCAGCUCUUCUCCUAUUACUGUCACUAUUCCUGUCUCCUCUUCACCAAAGACUUCACUGCGUACUUCACAGCUUGCUAGUCCUGCUGGUUUUUCACCAUAUCAAGCAUCUUCUGUACCUGACAGUACUCCACAUCAAACAUCUUCUGUACCUGACAGUAAUGCAUCCACAACUGCUACUUCUCCUCAGUCUACUCCCUGUUUACCAUCUGCUACUGUGCCUGCCCCUGCUCUACCUAAUUCGCACCCUAUGAUUACGAGAGCUAAGGCUGGAAUUCAUAAACCAAAGGUCUUCACAGCAACCAAACAUUCCCUUCAAGCCUCUGUUGAUUCUAUUGCUUGUCUUCCUUCCACACCUACAACCUUUUUACAAGCUUCCAAAAAUCCCAACUGGAUGCAAGCUAUGAAGGAUGAGUUUCAAGCAUUGAAAUCCACAGGCAAUUGGGAAUUGGUUCCGUUUCAGUCUCAUUUGAACUUGGUUGGUUGCAAAUGGGUCUUUCGACUCAAACAUAAACCUGAUGGCUCUAUUGAACGGUAUAAGGCUCGUCUUGUCGCCAAAGGUUUCCAUCAACAAGAGGGUCUUGACUUCUCUGAGACAUUCAGUCCCGUUGUAAAGCCUACUACUAUCCGUAUUCUCUUAUCCAUCGCUGUUUCCUAUGACUGGUUUGUCCAUCAGCUUGAUGUCAGUAAUGCCUUUUUGCAUGGUACAUUAAAGGAGGAUGUCUACAUGGUCCAGCCUCCUGGUUUUGUUAAUCAGUCCAAACCUACACAUGUCUGUAAACUCCAACGGUCACUCUAUGGUUUAAAAUAGGCACCUCGUGCCUGGUAUGAUGCUUUUCACAAGGCUAUCCUCUCUUUAGGUUUCUCCUCUUCACAUUCUGACUCCAGUCUGUUUAUAAAAAAGGAUUCUACCAUUACUUUCAUCUUAGUCUAUGUUGAUGAUAUCAUCAUCACUGGUAGUUCUACCACAGUUUGUCAAUCCAUUAUUACUCAGUUACAAACUAUGUUUCUUGUGAAAGACUUGGGUGAUAUUCACUACUUUCUCGGUAUUGAGGUUCACUGAUCUGCCAAAGGUUUAUUUCUGCAUCAGUUCAAAUAUGCUCUUGAUUUGCUGAAGAAAUCUGAUAUGCUUGGUGUCAAGCCUUGCUCCACUCCUGUUGGUUCUGCGAAACUGGAUCACUCUGGUUCUCCUCUUUCUGAUCCUUCCUUUUAUCGCUCCACUGUUGGAGCCUUGCAGUAUCUCACAUGGACUCGGCCUGAUUUGGCUUUUGCUGUUAACCAAGUAUGUCAACAUAUGCAUUCUCCUAGGACAGUCCACUUACAGGCAGUUAAAUGGAUCAUUCGAUAUUUGAAGGGUACCCUUCAUUUCGGUCUUUGGCUAACAAAAGGUCCUCACUACCUCACUGCAUGGUCUGAUGCUGACUGGGCUGGCUGUCCUGUUGACAGAAGAUCCACCAGUGGCUACUGUGUUUUUCUUGGACCGAAUCUCAUUUCCUGGAGUGCAAAGAAGCAAUGCACUGUUGCUCGAUCGUCUACUGAAGCUGAGUACAGGUCUCUAGCUCAUACAGCUGCUGAACUCAGUUGGGUUUGUCAAGUAUUGCAGGAUCUUUCCUUUCCUCUUCUCAAAACUCCUGCGAUUUUCUGUGAUAAUAAAAGUGCAAUUGCACUAGCCUUCAAUCCUGUAUUCAUGCUAGGACGAAGCAUGUUGAAAUAGACUAUCACUAUAUUCGUGAGAAGGUUCUCUGUGGCAAAGUCAGUGUGCAUCAUGUUGCUUCUCUUCUUCAAAUUGCAGAUAUUUUCACUAAGUCUUUGCCCUCUGAUAGAUUUGCCGCCUUGGCUUCCAAGCUUUCAGUUCGACCUCCUCCCUUCACCUUGAGGGGGUGUGUUAGGAAUAUAAUAGAACCUAUAUGUAAUUAAAGGUUUUACUUUACUUAGCUGUUAAGCUAAUUGUACCUAUUUAUAUGAUAUUGUAUUCUUUCGGACUGUAAGAUGAAUUCAUUCAAUCAAUACACUUCUCUUUCUAGAAUCCUCUCUCUCUCUCUACCUUUACCUUUUCUCUCAUAGAAUCAUAAGUUUCUACACUAUCAGCAGCGGCAUUCUUCCUUGCUCGUUCCUAGGAACUCGGUAACGUGGCCAGUAAGUCAGCGAGCAUUGAGGCAGGCAGACAGAUAUUAUUAACUGCUUUCAGUCGGUAAGGAAAAGAAUGCUGAUUUCACCGAUUAUCCGUACUUGACGCUUUGGACGAGUAAUUUAAAACCUCAGUUCACUAUCAUACCGUUUGGUAUGUGGGACGGGACAGAACGGAGUGAGACGAGGCGUUCCGUCCCACGUUUGGUGUGCCUAAAACGGGUGCAACGCGCUGUUCCACAUAAUGAAUUUUGGGUGAAUUUUCGUUCCGCCUCACCCCCUGGAACGACUCGUUCCACAUCCGUGGAACACAAAAUUAUAACCUCUCUGUCUCCUUCUUCCUCCUUGUUUCCAUCCGAGGGCAUCUUUGCUCCCUCUCCGUUCUGUCCCGUUCCGUCUGCAUACCAAACGAUACCCUUCUUCGAUUACCGCUUCGAGUCUUAAGGGUAAUUGUCUGCAAUUUCCAUCAGAAGUGUGAUUGGUUUCCUUGUUUUUCUUUGGCUUGCAUGUAAGUUGCAAUUAACUGAUUGUUCAACAUCAGACGAGCAUGACGAUAACCGAAGAAAUGUGAGUUCAACUGGACAUGACGAUUGCCAGGGUGAUGCAUCAAGCUUGUUUGUGCCAAGUUUCUGCGUGUUUUCCCCAUCGCUUUCGGGACAUAGAGACGAAUCCACCAGCUUUGUAGAUGAUCAGAAUGCUUAAGAUAUUCACUUUAAAUAAUCAGCGUGAUGUUUCACGCCUGUUUAUGUUAAGUUUCUACGUACUUUCCAUAUCGUUUUCGGAGCAUGACGACAAAACCACCAGGCAGUGGCGGAUGAUCAGAAUGCUUAAUUUAUUGACUAACCAAUACCAACUCCACUCCACCCAACUCUUCUUAAACAAAUUAUAAUUAUAUAAUCGGGAUAGCAUUGGUAUCAGUGUGGUUAGUAGUGACCACUUCGCUUGUCCGCAUCUGUAAAUUACAGAGGCCAAGCAAGGAAAGCAAGGUUAGACAUCAGUUGAAACGAGUGAAGAAAACAGAGUCAGCCCUGGGAGGCACAGGACUGAAAUUAUCAGUAUAUAGUUUCUACCUUAUUUCUUCCAUUUUGCACCCAGAUCAAUGUGUGUUUAUCUUAACAAUGUAAUAAGAAUUGAGGUGGAUGGAUUCACCGCUACCAUGGUCCCCUAAAUACAAGGUUACGAAAAUAAAAUCUUACACGUGAAUUUAUAUUUGAUGGUACAAAGUAUUACAGUAACGAUGAACCUGUUUCUUAAAAAUCUCUCUAAAAACACAAAAUAAGAGAACAGGAGGAAGGCGUAACUGAUCAAGGAGCCUCCUGAGAAAGGAUAAGAAGGUGAAAGUAAAUGCACCAAGGCUUACGGUUACUCAUUAAUAUUUCCUUACUAGUCCGGCUAUGAAACAAACGUCUGCUCUACAUCUCAUCAAGUUAUGUGUUGAUAACAUAUUUUAUUACCAAACAUUUGGGUUCAUGAUUUACUCUUGGACCAUACUAAAAGGAAAGUACCAAGACAGUAUGUGCGUGAUGCUGAACUGAAAGACUAGGAUGACAUCAUUGCAAUAUGACGUCAUAGAACUAAUACAGUUUCCAAUUUUUAAACAAAAUAAUAAUUUCCAUUUGGUUUUACUUUAACUUAACCUACUGAGCAAGUAAUCGAGUCAAUUUUUGGACCGGAUUGUUUAAAUGUAUUCCAAUAAUGUUAUUCUUAUCAUAUUUUUGUACCACAAUUAUAUAUCACCUUUGGUGGUAUCUAAUGUGGACAACCACAUCAUUUAAAUUAAUUAGCAUUUAAUUUCAAAAUGUUAAUCAAUAAUUAAUAAAAAGAUUGUUAAUUAAAUGAUGAUUGUGGUAUACAAGAAGUAUUCUUCUGCCACCUAAAAUUAUUUAGGUGUUUUAAUUAAUAAAAAAAUUGAAAUUAAAUGAUGUAGCUUGUCCAACUCAUCUGCCACCUAAGAUGGUAAAAAAAUGUGGUAUAAAAUUGUGGUAAGAAUAGCAUUACUCAAUGUAUUCACACAGAAUAAUCAAUGCCAACUCACCCAAAACCCCCUUUCAAUUAAAUAUAUUUUAAUUUUUAAUUUAAUCUCCACAAAAUUAUACAAAUUCUCACCCAAACUAGUAUAUUGGAUCAAGAACUUCAAGUUAAGGGGGUAAUCCGGAUUAAUCUCAUGAGAUGGAAAUGAUUGAGAUAGUGAUCGGGUAUGGAUUCAUUUUGUGCCUUGUCUUUUUUUCUAAGGAAGUGAAUCAUACAAAUCGAGUGAUUUGUCACGCUUCAGGUCAAGGACAGAUUGGCUAUCAAUCGAUGUACCAGGCCGUCCAACUGAGGCGGCACACCCUUCAGGAUGUUAACUUGACUUCUAUUAGGUACAUAUAUCUAUGCAGACAUGUUUGUAGCUGGUAUAUGGUCUCGUCACUUUAGCUAGAUCAGAGAAAUGCGUUUGGAGCAACAUUCUGAAAGUUAGAAUACAUUGCAUGUGCUUAUUAUACUUAUGCGGUACGGGGAUUGAGAUGAAGCACAGUGGGCAACGUCCCCGCCAAUUCGCGUCAUUCUUCAGGAACGUUAACAUUCUUAUCUACUCCAAACGGUGGGAAGAUUAUCUUAUCAAAGUGACAAACUGCAAAAUAUAAGCAGUAAAGAGAUAGCUUACAAGGGCUCAUAAAGAUCUUAAAGAAGAAUCGUAAUUGACAUAGAUUCAAAUCUUGAUGUGAGGACCCAUAUCGGUAAGAGAGAAAUAACGAGAUUUCAAUAUAUGUUUAUCCACUGGUCCACUUGUUAGGUUUUGUUUUCUUUGAUUGCUCUUGCUUUUGUUGGAUGGAUUAAGGUUAACACAAAUGGGUUUUCUAAAUAAAUUGUCAUGUGGAUAGUGGUGGUGUUUUUCGUGACUCCAAUAGUUUUUUUUAUGAGUGUUUUCCUCAUCUUUGUAUGUGUGACAACCUGUCCCACUUAAGUUUACAGGUUUUACAGAACGAAAGAAGCAGGGUUGUAAUUUUCCCAUUGGUUGUGGGUUUUGGUUUAAAUAUUGUUUUAUUUGGUGCUAAAUGGUGUGCCUUGUGGGCCCCUUUCCUUUUUUGGUUCCCCAGUUUUCCCCUCCUCCUGUCUGUGGUUGCCACGUGUCCCCCACACAACUCCCAGAUCCCUCUCUUCUCUCCUUCCCAAGCUCUCUCUCUCACGACUCAUUCACUUUCUCUCCCUCGCAGACAUCUAUCUCUCAGCUCUCUCUUCCCCAAGGUGCCAACCCACACAUACACAUCCAUACACACCAACCUUCGAACCCCAGGACCGAAAGGUGUAGCGCCAUGGAAACCGGUGCGAAGGCGAGUUUCCAACGGUGGUAAGUUCUGAGAAUCACCUAAAACUUCUUGAUUCGUGCUUUGGGUUGUAUUUCUAGUUUUUCUAAGACUUUUGGUAGAAGUUUGGUGCAGGAAACAUCAUUGGAACUUAAACCCAAUUUCCAGCGAGAACCCGGCGGAUUUCAAGUCAUUUUUCGGCCAAUUCCUGCCAUUUCACGGUCUCCAAUAGGUAUUUUUCAACUCCUUAUUCUUUGGGCUUCAAAUUGAUAUAAAGUUUGACUAAGUUUAAUGGUGUGUUGGAGAUGACCGGAGCUUGGAAGCUCCGGCUUUCUCAUUCGUGUUGUUCAGCCUUCUUCCCUAACGAGAAACAAAAUCAGGCCCUUGGCCCGCUAAAACCUAAAAACCCAAACCUUUUUAUUUGUUAAACCCUUUUUAUUUAAACCAUUCAGACCUGGGCCUUAGGGCCGUUUAGAACUAAGGGCUUCAGCCCACUAGCCCAACCCAAACCCAAAUGUUAGAAUUAACCCCAGGUCUUGGGCCUUAUUGACAUGGGCCUUCAUCCCAAGCCCAGGAACCCUUGAACCCAAAGUCUAGGCCCAAGGACCCUUAGCCCAAUCCAGAUGUUGACCCAAGCCCAACCCGAUGAAACAUUCUCUGGAAUAUUCCCAUGUGACUUUUUGUUGAUUUUUUCGAAAUUUACCCGUGACCCUUCUUAGGGUAAUUUGACAUCCUGAAUUCGUUUUUGAUAUCCGUUUUCCCAAAUUCAAUCGUUUGAAUAGAGUUGUAUUAAUUGUACCCUUUAUGUGCUUGAGGUUAACUAUUUGUGGUGUUUCCGUCUUUACUAGUUUGCUUGGCUCUUCGGCAGCGAACUAUCUGUAAGUAGACCCCUUCUAAAUGCACGUGAGAAACAUGAUUUUAAUGAUUACAUUUUAUGAAAUAUUAGGCUUACUAAGAAUAUUUUGAAUUACCAUAUUUUAUCGAACUGAUGUUCUUUGUAGUAUAUAUGAUGGAUGACUAUAUACUGCUUACGAACAUGCUUUUACACACUUCUUUAUAGUAUAGAUGAUGGAUGACUUUAUACUAUGAAGUUGUUUUUGAGAUAUAUGUACCUAUGUUUGGAAAGACUAUGUUCAAUGGUUUUGUGCGUAUCUAGUGGUCAUUGUUCUGCCUAGGGGUGAUGAUACUUAAAUUGCCUACGGACUGGCGUGCGCAGGGCACUGUUCUGUGCAUAUGGAAGAUGAUACUUAUAUUGCCUUCGGGCGGGCGUGUGUUGGGCACUGUUUUGUGCAGAAGAGAGAUACUGAUACCACUAGUUAGCACACUAUAUGCGAGAUACUUUUAUGAAGGUCUUAUGGCAUGCUAGGGUUUUCAGAAAACCUAUUACAUAUUAUGCUAUUGAGUUUUUAUAAAACUUUAGGGGUUAGUAUGUUGAUAACUGUUUCAGUAUUAUGUAUAUAUCAACUUGGUUCACUUAUGUUUGUUUUGCACCCCCUCAGGACUUAGAAUCGAGGCAUACAAUCCCGGCGUCAAGGCACUUCCGCAUCGGCAUCUUCGAGUCCUCUUGGUGUAGGACCUAUUUCUUGUACUCAUUCAAUUUUAUGUUAUUUCUUUUUAGGGUUCUAGUUAGUUGUAUGCUCUGAACACGUUUCUCAUUUGCAUAUUAAUUAGAUUUAAAUUUGUAAGUCCUAUUUAUUUCUUGUUCUCAUGCAUUCUAAUAUGGUUUCGUCACCCUCAGGUGUCGGCCAACACGUACCUACCCUGGUGUUUGGGAGAAUAUCAAGGUUGGGCGUGUCACUAUGCAUUGAAAUUUUGAAAUUUCAUGUUUACAAUCUUCUUGUCCAAGUGCAAUUGUAGCUGAGAUUGUUGUUGUGAUCAAGGCAAUUCAGAUUGCGUGAGAUAAAGAGUGACAACACAUUUGGUUAGAGACAGAUUCUAUGCAUGUCGUUCACCCUUUAUCAGCUCGCUUCAUGGAUGUCCCAUGGUUUCUCAAAGUUUCUUGGGCAAAUUGUUUAUGAUAUUGCUCACUUGCGCUUGCGUGUUUUGCAUAAUUUUAGGGAAGAAAAUUGUUUGGCGGAUGCUUUUGCUAAUUCUAGGGGAAUGAAUAGUAGUUUUACGUGGGGGGACUUGAUAGCUGAUUUUGCAAAUGCGUCUUAUAGAAGAGACCGCAUUGGCUUCAUGUCUUUCGUUCGAGGUAAUUUUUUUUAUAUGGUUUGUAGCUUGUCGCUUGGUUGCAAUUCGUGGCGGCAUUUAAGUUUUGGUUUAGAGGAGUUCCUACAUCCCCCUCUUUUUUUGUAUUCUUCAAGUUUUAAGAGGUGGUCAAGUUUUUGUUCCUUCAUCGUCUUGCGUUCUGAGGGGUAAGAUUUUUGCCCCUUGACUAGGUAUAACUUUAAUUUUUCUUAUCAAUAAAAUUUUCUCGUACGAUCUAGGUUCCAUGGAAAACAAAAGGUUUGUUUUAUUUUCUUUGUUUAUCAUACAUGGUUAAUUGCUUUUGUCACUUGAUUCAUAAGCUCUGAUUAAUUACCCUUGAUUAUUAGGAUAGAGCUUCAGUAAUAUGUCAUUUAGUAAUAUGGUAUAUUUCACUCCACUUGUUUGGAAGUUUUAGAUUAGAAUCUUUUGAAUGAGGUGAAGAACAAAUAGAAUUUGCUACAAAAGCCGGCUAACAGGGGUAUUCUUGUCGAAUUUGUUACGAAAGUAUUAUAACAAGAAAAUUGUAUGACUUAGAUUAGAUCCCAUUCUUUAUGUAAAUAUAUCAAUUCUUCAACAAAAAAUAAAAAAAAUCGUGAUAUAAAAUGUAAUUUUUAAAUGUUUUUUAUGUGGAUUUUAAAGAAAAAACAAAUUUGUCCAGCUCACCCAACUUUGUCGUUACGUCCCUCCAGAACCUCUUCUUUUUCAUGGCGGGCCGCCUUUGGAGAAUUCCACCGAACUUCCUCUUGCUUUCCUUUAGUCAAUUAAAUAUUGUAAACAACUGAAACUUAUCUUCCAAGAAACGAGCAUCUCCUCCCCUAUAUAAAACCAUGUCUUUCAUCGUAGCAGAAACAAAAAAAACCUAAACCUUCAAGAGCUUCCGAAAACCCUUCCGACGAAAACGAAGAUGAUGGGAGAAAUGUGGGCUCAAACGGGCUCGGUGAUUGCGAGCGUGAUGUUCGUUGCUGCCAUAUUCCAACAAUACCUUCCUCGCCAACUUCGGUACCAUGUCGAAAGAUACACUCAAAAAUUAGUGAGCUUUGUCUACCCUUACAUCCAAAUCUCUUUUGAUGAAUUCACCAAUGAUUUUCGCAAGCGAAGUGAAAUCUAUUCCGCCAUCCAGAGCUAUCUCAGCGCGAAGUCUUCCACCCGGGCUAAGCGGUUAAAAGCUCAUGAUGUCAAGGACAGCAAGUCUGUAGUCCUUGGCAUGGAUGACAGUGAAGAAGUGACUGAUGAAUUUCAAGGCAUUAAUCUUUCAUGGGCUUCGAGGAAACGAACGAAGAAUCAGACUUCAUUUUCUUUCUAUCCUCAGGCUGAUGAGAAGAAUCAUUAUACGCUGACGUUCCACAGACGCCAUCGAGAUAUCAUCACGGGGUCUUACCUUGAUUAUGUGAUAAAAGAAGGGAAGGCGAUAUCGGUGAGCAACAGGCAACGAAGGCUCUAUAUCAACAAUCCUACACAGAAUUGGUACUCCUACAGGGGGACAAAGUGGAGCCAUGUAGUGUUUGAGCACCCGGCAUCAUUUGAAACCCUAGCAAUGGACCCGAAAAAGAAGGAGGAAAUCGUCAAUGACCUCAUCAUGUUCAGAAAGGGAAAGGAGUACUAUGCAAAAAUCGGGAAGCCUUGGAAGCGGGGUUAUCUACUUUACGGGCCACCAGGCACUGGAAAGUCUACCAUGGUUGCUGCCAUGUCUAAUCUCAUGGAUUAUGAUGUCUAUGAUCUUGAAUUAACGACGGUGAAGGACAACACUGAGCUGAGGAAGCUACUGAUUGACACACCGAGUAAGUCUAUACUUGUGAUUGAGGACAUUGAUUGCUCGCUUGAUCUUACAGGACAGCGAAAGAAGAAGAAGGAGAAGGAUGAGGAGGACAAGGAAGAAAAUAAGGAUCCAGUUCGAAAAAUGAGGGAAGAUCAAGAAAACACACAGAGCAAGGUCACUCUUUCGGGGCUGCUAAACUUUAUCGAUGGGAUUUGGUCAGCUUGCGGAGGGGAGAGACUGAUCGUGUUCACUACUAAUUAUGUGGAGAAACUUGAUCCUGCGCUCAUUAGAAGAGGAAGGAUGGACAAACACAUAGAGUUGUCCUACUGCUGCUUCGAAGCAUUCAAAGUGCUUGCUAGGAAUUAUUUGGAUUUGGAUUCACAAGAGCUGUUUGAAACGAUUGCUCGUUUGUUGGGCGAAACCAAUAUGACUCCUGCUGAUGUCGCUGAGAACUUGAUG